AACGAACGCUGGCGGCAGGCCUAAUACAUGCAAGUCGAACGUGUGGCGGACGGGUGAGUAAUGUCUGGGAAACCGCCCGAUGACGGGGCCAACUACUGGAAACGGUCGCUAAUACAGCAUAGCAUCGGAUGUGCCCAGAGGGGAUUAGCUUGUAGGCGAGGUAACGGCUCACCUAGGCGACGGUCCCUCGCUGGUCUGAGAGGAUGACCAGCCACACUGGAACUGAGACACGGUCCAGACUCCGACGGGAGGCAGCAGUGGGGAAGAGUGCACAAUGGGCGAAAGCCUGAUGCAGCCAUGCCGCGUGUAUGAAGAAGGCCUUCGGGUUGUAAAGUACUUUCGGCAAGGAAGCGUUACUCACAGAAAAAGCACCGGCUAACUCCGUGCCAGCAGCCGCGGUAAUUC
rnacentral:rRNA from 1 species